rnacentral:rRNA from 1 species
UGACUGCGUACCUUUUGUAUAAUGGGUCAGCGACUUAUAUUCUGUAGCAAGGUUAACCGAAUAGGGGAGCCGAAGGGAAACCGAGUCUUAACUGGGCGUUAAGUUGCAGGGUAUAGACCCGAAACCCGGUGAUCUAGCCAUGGGCAGGUUGAAGGUUGGGUAACACUAACUGGAGGACCGAACCGACUAAUGUUGAAAAAUUAGCGGAUGACUUGUGGCUGGGGGUGAAAGGCCAAUCAAACCGGGAGAUAGCUGGUUCUCCCCGAAAGCUAUUUAGGUAGCGCCUCGUGAAUUCAUCUCCGGGGGUAGAGCACUGUUUCGGCAAGGGGGUCAUCCCGACUUACCAACCCGAUGCAAACUGCGAAUACCGGAGAAUGUUAUCACGGGAGACACACGGCGGGUGCUAACGUCCGUCGUGAAGAGGGAAACAACCCAGACCGCCAGCUAAGGUCCCAAAGUCAUGGUUAAGUGGGAAACGAUGUGGGAAGGCCCAGACAGCCAGGAUGUUGGCUUAGAAGCAGCCAUCAUUUAAAGAAAGCGUAAUAGCUCACUGGUCGAGUCGGCCUGCGCGGAAGAUGUAACGGGGCUAAACCAUGCACCGAAGCUGCGGCAGCGACACUGUGUGUUGUUGGGUAGGGGAGCGUUCUGUAAGCCUGUGAAGGUGUCUGUGAGGAUGCUGGAGGUAUCAGAAGUGCGAAUGCUGACAUAAGUAACGAUAAAGCGGGUGAAAAGCCCGCUCGCCGGAAGACCAAGGGUUCCUGUCCAACGUUAAUCGGGGCAGGGUGAGUCGACCCCUAAGGCGAGGCCGAAAGGCGUAGUCGAUGGGAAACAGGUUAAUAUUCCUGUACUUGGUGUUACUGCGAAGGGGGGACGGAGAAGGCUAUGUUGGCCGGGCGACGGUUGUCCCGGUUUAAGCGUGUAGGCUGGUUUUCCAGGCAAAUCCGGAAAAUCAAGGCUGAGGCGUGAUGACGAGGCACUACGGUGCUGAAGCAACAAAUGCCCUGCUUCCAGGAAAAGCCUCUAAGCAUCAGGUAACAUCAAAUCGUACCCCAAACCGACACAGGUGGUCAGGUAGAGAAUACCAAGGCGCUUGAGAGAACUCGGGUGAAGGAACUAGGCAAAAUGGUGCCGUAACUUCGGGAGAAGGCACGCUGAUAUGUAGGUGAAGUCCCUCGCGGAUGGAGCUGAAAUCAGUCGAAGAUACCAGCUGGCUGCAACUGUUUAUUAAAAACACAGCACUGUGCAAACACGAAAGUGGACGUAUACGGUGUGACGCCUGCCCGGUGCCGGAAGGUUAAUUGAUGGGGUCAGCGCAAGCGAAGCUCUUGAUCGAAGCCCCGGUAAACGGCGGCCGUAACUAUAACGGUCCUAAGGUAGCGAAAUUCCUUGUCGGGUAAGUUCCGACCUGCACGAAUGGCGUAAUGAUGGCCAGGCUGUCUCCACCCGAGACUCAGUGAAAUUGAACUCGCUGUGAAGAUGCAGUGUACCCGCGGCAAGACGGAAAGACCCCGUGAACCUUUACUAUAGCUUGACACUGAACAUUGAGCCUUGAUGUGUAGGAUAGGUGGGAGGCUUUGAAGUGUGGACGCCAGUCUGCAUGGAGCCGACCUUGAAAUACCACCCUUUAAUGUUUGAUGUUCUAACGUGGACCCGUGAUCCGGGUUGCGGACAGUGUCUGGUGGGUAGUUUGACUGGGGCGGUCUCCUCCUAAAGAGUAACGGAGGAGCACGAAGGUUGGCUAAUCCUGGUCGGACAUCAGGAGGUUAGUGCAAUGGCAUAAGCCAGCUUGACUGCGAGCGUGACGGCGCGAGCAGGUGCGAAAGCAGGUCAUAGUGAUCCGGUGGUUCUGAAUGGAAGGGCCAUCGCUCAACGGAUAAAAGGUACUCCGGGGAUAACAGGCUGAUACCGCCCAAGAGUUCAUAUCGACGGCGGUGUUUGGCACCUCGAUGUCGGCUCAUCACAUCCUGGGGCUGAAGUAGGUCCCAAGGGUAUGGCUGUUCGCCAUUUAAAGUGGUACGCGAGCUGGGUUUAGAACGUCGUGAGACAGUUCGGUCCCUAUCUGCCGUGGGCGCUGGAGAACUGAGGGGGGCUGCUCCUAGUACGAGAGGACCGGAGUGGACGCAUCACUGGUGUUCGGGUUGUCAUGCCAAUGGCACUGCCCGGUAGCUAAAUGCGGAAGAGAUAAGUGCUGAAAGCAUCUAAGCACGAAACUUGCCCCGAGAUGAGUUCUCCCUGACCCUUUAAGGGUCCUGAAGGAACGUUGAAGACGACGACGUUGAUAGGCCGGGUGUGUAAGCGCAGCGAUGCGUUGAGCUAACCGGUACUAAUGAACCGUGAGGCUUAACCUU